UGCGUAUUCUACCAUCAGAUA
rnacentral:piRNA from 1 species